GUGAGAUUUGGACGAGCUGGGGGAGGAAGAGUAAGAAAACGGGAAAGGCUGGACCUUGGGGUGCCCCGCUGGGACCAGUGGGGUGUGGCCUGCCUUCCCAUGAUUCCAGGCAGGUGGAGAGUCUGUGCAUCCAGGGGAAACUGUGAACUAAAGAAAAGAUUUCAGGCAUCGCUAAAACUGUCCUCUCACCUGCCCCGAAUCCACCUGCAAUGGACAGUGAGGCUGCUUCCUCAGCAUCCGUCUCCUCUUCUUCUAGGAGCUACCUCAGUUCACACUUCACCAUCCCCCCUUGCCUGCACAGUCCAAGCUUUUAGGGGAACUUCUGAUGGUGAGGCAUGUGGCUCAUACCUGGAAUAAUCACGAUAAUCCCUUCCCCACUGCUGGCCACAGUUACACACUCAGAGUUAGACACAUGGUCCAAUUGGGGAUCUGAUGAGGCCUUCCAGCCAUGAGAGAGGGACCUCUCUCUCUGAGCUAUGAGGAGGUGUUGGCAACCUUCGUGUGACCCUGAGAAGGACCC
rnacentral:lncRNA from 1 species